UAGGGAAUCUUCCACAAUGGGCGAAAGCCUGAUGGAGCAACGCCGCGUGAGUGAAGAAGGAUUUCGGUUCGUAAAACUCUGUUGUAAGGGAAGAACAAGUACAGUAGUAACUGGCUGUACCUUGACGGUACCUUAUUAGAAAGCCACGGCUAACUACGUGCCAGCAGCCGCGGUAAUACGUAGGUGGCAAGCGUUGUCCGGAAUUAUUGGGCGUAAAGCGCGCGCAGGUGGUUUCUUAAGUCUGAUGUGAAAGCCCACGGCUCAACCGUGGAGGGUCAUUGGAAACUGGGAGACUUGAGUGCAGAAGAGGAUAGUGGAAUUCCAAGUGUAGCGGUGAAAUGCGUAGAGAUUUGGAGGAACACCAGUGGCGAAGGCGACUAUCUGGUCUGUAACUGACACUGAGGCGCGAAAGCGUGGGGAGCAAACA
rnacentral:rRNA from 2 species